rnacentral:misc_RNA from 1 species
UCUCCGUAGGUGAACCUGCGGAGGGAUCAUUACAGAGUUCAUGCCCUACCGGGUAGAUCUCCCACCCUGUGUUAUUAUUACUUUGUUGCUUUGGCGGGCCGUUAGGCUCCGGCCCGACUACCGGCCCCGGCUGGUAAGCGCCCGCCAGGGGACCCAAAACCCUGAAUAUUAGUGUCGUCUGAGUACUAUAUAAUAGUUAAAACUUUCAACAACGGAUCUCUUGGUUCUG